UGGGGAAUCUUGCACAAUGGGGGCAACCCUGAUGCAGCGACGCCGCGUGAGCGAUGAAGCCCUUCGGGGCGUAAAGCUCUUUCGACCGGAACGAUAAUGACGGUACCGGGAGAAGAAGCUGCGGCUAACUCCGUGCCAGCAGCCGCGGUAAUACGUAGGUGGCAAGCGUUGUCCGGAUUUACUGGGCGUAAAGGGAGCGUAGGCGGACUUUUAAGUGAGAUGUGAAAUACCCGGGCUCAACCUGGGUGCUGCAUUUCAAACUGGAAGUCUAGAGUGCAGGAGAGGAGAGUGGAAUUCCUAGUGUAGCGGUGAAAUGCGUAGAGAUUAGGAAGAACACCAGUGGCGAAGGCGACUCUCUGGACUGUAACUGACGCUGAGGCUCGAAAGCGUGGGGAGCAAACA
rnacentral:rRNA from 1 species